rnacentral:rRNA from 1 species
UGCUGGGUGGAUCAGUGGCGAACGGGUGAGUAACACGUGAGCAACCUGCCCCUGACUCUGGGAUAAGCGCUGGAAACGGCGUCUAAUACUGGAUACGAGACGUGACCGCAUGGUCAACGUUUGGAAAGAUUUUUCGGUUGGGGAUGGGCUCGCGGCCUAUCAGCUUGUUGGUGAGGUAAUGGCUCACCAAGGCGUCGACGGGUAGCCGGCCUGAGAGGGUGACCGGCCACACUGGGACUGAGACACGGCCCAGACUCCUACGGGAGGCAGCAGUGGGGAAUAUUGCACAAUGGGCGGAAGCCUGAUGCAGCAACGCCGCGUGAGGGAUGACGGCCUUCGGGUUGUAAACCUCUUUUAGCAGGGAAGAAGCGAAAGUGACGGUACCUGCAGAAAAAGCGCCGGCUAACUACGUGCCAGCAGCCGCGGUAAUACGUAGGGCGCAAGCGUUAUCCGGAAUUAUUGGGCGUAAAGAGCUCGUAGGCGGUUUGUCGCGUCUGCUGUGAAAUCUGGGGGCUCAACCCCCAGCCUGCAGUGGGUACGGGCAGACUAGAGUGCGGUAGGGGAGAUUGGAAUUCCUGGUGUAGCGGUGGAAUGCGCAGAUAUCAGGAGGAACACCGAUGGCGAAGGCAGAUCUCUGGGCCGUAACUGACGCUGAGGAGCGAAAGGGUGGGGAGCAAACAGGCUUAGAUACCCUGGUAGUCCACCCCGUAAACGUUGGGAACUAGUUGUGGGGUCCAUUCCACGGAUUCCGUGACGCAGCUAACGCAUUAAG